AACGGAGGAGGAUGAGCUGACUCAGCACAUUACAGGACUCACCUUGUGAGCUCAGUGUCAUGUACCGGUCAUGCACAGGUGUGGUUGAACUGUUGAGUUAGUCCAGUGUCAUGUACAGGUGUGGUUGAACUGUUGAGUUAGUCCAGCGUCGUGUACAGGUGUGGUUGAACUGUUGAGUUAGUCCAGUGUCGUGUACAGGUGUGGUUGAACUGUUGAGUUAGUCCAGUGUCGUGUACAGGUGUGGUUGAACUGUUGAGUUAAUCCAGUGUCGUGUACAGGUGUGAUUGAACUGUUGAGUUAGUCCAGUGUCGUGUACAGGUGUGGUUGAACUGUUGAGUUAGUCCAGUGUCGUGUACAGGUGUGGUUGAACUGUUGAGUUAGUCCAGUGUCGUGUACAGGUGUGGAUGAACUAGUCACAGAAUGUUGGAAGUAAAGAGAGGAAGGAGACUGAAAAUAAAUCUGCUGUAAAGAAGUA